rnacentral:rRNA from 1 species
AUACGAAGGGGGCAAGCGUUGUUCGGAAUAACUGGGCGUAAAGCGCACGUAGGCGGAAUGUUAAGUUAGAGGUGAAAUCCCAGGGCUCAACCCUGGAACGGCCUUUAAUACUGGCAAUCUAGAGACCGAGAGAGGUGAGUGGAAUUCCGAGUGCAGAGGUGAAAUUCGUAGAUAUUCGGAGGAACACCAGUGGCGAAGGCGGCUCACUGGCUCGGUACUGACGCUGAGGUGCGAAAGCGUGGGGAGCAAACAGGAUUAGAAACCCUAGUAGUCC